rnacentral:rRNA from 1 species
UACGUAGGUGGCAAGCGUUGUCCGGAUUUACUGGGCGUAAAGGGCGUGCAGGCGGUUUGUUAAGUGCAGGGUGAAAGCUCCCGGCUCAACUGGGAGAGGUCCUUGCAUACUGGCAAACUCGAGGGAGGCAGAGGAAAGUGGAAUUCCCGGUGUAGCGGUGAAAUGCGUAGAUAUCCGGAGGAACACCGGUGGCGAAGGCGGCUUCCUGGACCGACACUGACGCUGAGGCGCGAAAGCUAGGGGAGCAAACGGG